UGAAUUUUGCUGCAGAAGGAGUGAACUAGGGACCUCUGCACAGCCAGCCACCAUUGCGCCUCACCAUCUUUCCCCAGCUCUAGUUUCGUGUGGAGGCUGGCACUGCCUAUGCACUGUGCAGUAUCCUGAUCCUUCUCCCACUCCUAAAAAAAAACCCACAACAUAAUCAAAUUGAUCCUCAAGGUGCCUUCUGACCUGAAAUAAACAUCUUGUUAAUGAUCUGUAUGGUUUGAAGUCAUAUCAUUGCUAGGAGGAGUUUUGGACCAGCAAGGAAUUCCAAGCCCUGACAAAAUUUCUCUUAUUUUACUAUCUUCAAACUAACCCUUCAUUCUUAAUAACUUCUGUUAUUACCUCUGUUUGAAAGUUGUGUUCUGCUGCAAUGUGUAAAAUUGAGAAUAAUGAAGAAUAAAGUGUGUCCUAAUAGA